GGCAAUAGUUCUGCAUUGUCUGUGGUAGAACAUCUGCUUUGCAUGCAGAAGGUUUCAGGCUCGAAGCCUGACAUCUCCA